rnacentral:rRNA from 1 species
ACGUAGUAAAUUAAGAGUUAUUUAAAGGGGGUACAGCCCCUUUAAAAAAGGAUACAACCUCAUCACGCGGAUAAAGCCUAAAUACACGCACACACUGUGGGCCUUUAAGCAGCCAUCAAUAAAGAAUGCGUCAAAGCUCUCUCCAAAAAAUUACAAAACACCACGACUCCCUCUCCACUAACAGGCUAACCUAUAUCUAUAGAAGAAUUAAUGCUAAAAUAAGUAACUUGGAUUCCAUCCUCUCAAGCGCAAGCUUACACUUUACACAUUAUUAACAGACUACAACUAGUACCACAACUACGACAAGACCACGUACUACACACCCUGUUAACCCAACACAGGAGCGCUCGCUAGAAAGGUUCAAAUCUGUAAAAGGAACUAGGCAACCACAAGACUCGACUGUUUACCAAAAACAUAGCCUUUAGCCAACCAAGUAUUAAAGGUGACGCCUGCCCAGUGACACGUAGUUCAACGGCCGCGGUAUCCUAACCGUGCGAAGGUAGCGCAAUCAAUUGUCUCAUAAAUCGGGACUUGUAUGAAUGGCUAAACGAGGUCUUAACUGUCUCUUACAGAUAACCAGUGAAAUUGAUCUUCCUGUGCAAAAGCAGGAAUAGCACCAUAAGACGAGAAGACCCUGUGGAACUUAAAAAUCAGCGAUCACUACUACCAAACCCAAACCUACCAGGCCUAUUGACAUUAAAUGUUGAUCUACAUUUUUUGGUUGGGGCGACCUUGGAGAAAAAUAAAUCCUCCAAAAACAAGACCCUCCCUCUUGACUAAGAGCAACCACUCAACGUACUAAUAGUACCCAGACCCAGCAUAACUGACCAAUGAACCAAGCUACCCCAGGGAUAACAGCGCAAUCUCCUUCAAGAGCCCAUAUCGACAAGGAGGUUUACGACCUCGAUGUUGGAUCAGGACAUCCUAAUGGUGCAGUCGCUAUUAAGGGUUCGUUUGUUCAACGAUUAACAGUCCUACGUGAUCUGAGUUCAGACCGGAGCAAUCCAGGUCGGUUUCUAUCUAUGAUGAACUUAUCCCAGUACGAAAGGACCGGAUAAGUGAGGCCAAUGCCACUAGCAUGCCUUCCUAAAAGUAAUGACCACAACUAAAUUACUACCAAGACACCAACCACCAACCCUUACGCCUUAGAAAAGGCCAGCUAGCGUGGCAGAGACCGGUAAAUGCAA